AGUCGACCCCUAAGGCGAGGCCGAAAGGCGUAGUCGAUGGGAAACGGGUUAAUAUUCCCGUACUUGGUGUUACUGCGAAGGGGGGACGGAGAAGGCUAUGUUGGCCGGGCGACGGUUGUCCCGGUUUAAGCGUGUAGGUAUGUGUUCCAGGUAAAUCCGGUUCACUUUAACACUGAGGCGUGACGACGAGGCACUACGGUGCUGAAGCAACAAAUGCCCUGCUUCCAGGAAAAGCCUCUAAGCAUCAGGUAACAUCAAAUCGUACCCCAAACCGACACAGGUGGUCAGGUAGAGAAUACCAAGGCGCUUGAGAGAACUCGGGUGAAGGAACUAGGCAAAAUGGUGCCGUAACUUCGGGAGAAGGCACGCUGACACGUAGGUGAAGUGAUUUACUCACGGAGCUGAAGUCAGCCGAAGAUACCAGCUGGCUGCAACUGUUUAUUAAAAACACAGCACUGUGCAAACACGAAAGUGGACGUAUACGGUGUGACGCCUGCCCGGUGCCGGAAGGUUAAUUGAUGGGGUCAGCGCAAGCGAAGCUCCUGAUCGAAGCCCCGGUAAACGGCGGCCGUAACUAUAACGGUCCUAAGGUAGCGAAAUUCCUUGUCGGGUAAGUUCCGACCUGCACGAAUGGCGUAAUGAUGGCCAGGCUGUCUCCACCCGAGACUCAGUGAAAUUGAACUCGCUGUGAAGAUGCAGUGUACCCGCGGCAAGACGGAAAGACCCCGUGAACCUUUACUAUAGCUUGACACUGAACAUUGAGCCUUGAUGUGUAGGAUAGGUGGGAGGCUUUGAAGUGUGGACGCCAGUCUGCAUGGAGCCGACCUUGAAAUACCACCCUUUAAUGUUUGAUGUUCUAACGUGGACCCGUGAUCCGGGUUGCGGACAGUGUCUGGUGGGUAGUUUGACUGGGGCGGUCUCCUCCUAAAGAGUAACGGAGGAGCACGAAGGUUGGCUAAUCCUGGUCGGACAUCAGGAGGUUAGUGCAAUGGCAUAAGCCAGCUUGACUGCGAGCGUGACGGCGCGAGCAGGUGCGAAAGCAGGUCAUAGUGAUCCGGUGGUUCUGAAUGGAAGGGCCAUCGCUCAACGGAUAAAAGGUACUCCGGGGAUAACAGGCUGAUACCGCCCAAGAGUUCAUAUCGACGGCGGUGUUUGGCACCUCGAUGUCGGCUCAUCACAUCCUGGGGCUGAAGUAGGUCCCAAGGGUAUGGCUGUUCGCCAUUUAAAGUGGUACGCGAGCUGGGUUUAGAACGUCGUGAGACAGUUCGGUCCCUAUCUGCCGUGGGCGCUGGAGAACUGAGGGGGGCUGCUCCUAGUACGAGAGGACCGGAGUGGACGCAUCACUGGUGUUCGGGUUGUCAUGCCAAUGGCACUGCCCGGUAGCUAAAUGCGGAAGAGAUAAGUGCUGAAAGCAUCUAAGCACGAAACUUGCCCCGAGAUGAGUUCUCCCUGAGACUUUAGGUCUCCUGAAGGAACGUUGAAGACGACGACGUUGAUAGGCCGGGUGUGUAAGCGCAGCGAUGCGUUGAGCUAACCGGUACUAAUGAACCGUGAGGCUUAACCUUACAACGCCGAAG
rnacentral:rRNA from 1 species